UAGGGUGGUGCAAAAGUAAUUGCAGUUUCUGCCAUUCAAUUGCAUUGAGGUAUAUUACACGGAAUGGCAGGAACCGCAAUUACUUUUGCACCAACCUAAUA
rnacentral:miRNA from 1 species